rnacentral:rRNA from 1 species
GAUGAACGCUAGCGGCAGGCUUAAUACAUGCAAGUCGAGGGGCAGCACGGUUAGGCAAUAACUGGUGGCGACCGGCGCGACGGGUGCGUAACACGUAUACAAUCUACCUUAAACAGGGGAUAGCCUUUCGGAAAGAGGAGAUUAAUACCCCGUAAUAAAUUGAACGGCAUCGUUUGAUUUUGAAAGCUCCGGCGGUUUGAGAUGAGUAUGCGUCUGAUUAGCUAGUUGGUGAGGUAACGGCUCACCAAGGCGACGAUCAGUAGGGGAUCUGAGAGGACUAACCCCCACACUGGUACUGAGACACGGACCAGACUCCUACGGGAGGCAGCAGUAAGGAAUAUUGGUCAAUGGAGGCAACUCUGGACCAGCCAUGCCGCGUGCAGGAUGACGGCCCUAUGGGUUGUAAACUGCUUUUAUACAAGAGAAAAACCCCUGGUACGUGUACCAGGUUGAUAGUAUUGUAAGAAUAAGCAUCGGCUAACUUCGUGCCAGCAGCCGCGGUAAU